rnacentral:rRNA from 1 species
CCUACGGGCGGCAGCAGUGGGGAAUAUUGGGCAAUGGGCGCAAGCCUGACCCAGCAACGCCGCGUGAGGGAAGAAGGCUUUCGGGAUGUAAACCCCUUUUCGCAGGGACGAAGCAAGUGACGGUACCCGAGGAAUAAGCCACGGCUAACUACGCGCCAGCAGCCGCGGUAAUACGUAGGCGGCAAGCGUUAUCCGGAUUUACUGGGUGUAAAGGGAGUGUAGGCGGGACUGCAAGUCAGAUGUGAAAACCACGGGCUCAACCUGUGGCCUGCAUUUGAAACUGUAGUUCUUGAGUGCUGGAGAGGUAGGCGGAAUUCCUAGUGUAGCGGUGAAAUGCGUAGAUAUUAGGAGGAACACCAGUGGCGAAGGCGGUCUGCUGGACAGCAACUGACGCUGAGGCGCGAAAGCGUGGGGAGCAAACAGGAUUAGAUACCCUUGUAGUC